UACGUAGGGUGCAAGCGUUAAUCGGAAUUACUGGGCGUAAAGCGUGCGCAGGCGGUUCCGCAAGUCAGAUGUGAAAGCCCCGGGCUCAACCUGGGAAUGGCAUUGGAAACUGGCGAGCUAGAGUGUGGCAGAGGGGGGUGGAAUUCCGCGUGUAGCAGUGAAAUGCGUAGAGAUGCGGAGGAACACCGAUGGCGAAGGCAGCCCCCUGGGCUGACACUGACGCUCAGGCACGAAAGCGUGGGGAGCAAACAGG
rnacentral:rRNA from 1 species